rnacentral:lncRNA from 1 species
GCUGUGGAAGCUUUGUCCUUGCGGUCUUCACAGUAAACCUUGUUACCACUCACUCUUUGGGUCUGUGCCAUCUUUAAGAGCUGUAACACUCACUGCGAAGGUCCACAGCUUUAUUCUUGAAGUCAGCGAGACCAUGAACCCACCGGCAGGAACUGACUCUGGACACAAUGGUGGCUCCUGACCAGACCCUCAGAACCUGAGGACGGGUGAUCAUUUCUGGUCCAGUGUCUUGACUGGCACCAAGUCAAGCAUUGUCCUCCACGUCAUCAGCUGCAGGCCAGAUAAUCUAAGAUGAUGCCAAACAGUCACUGCAGAGGAAUUUGCUGCACGGAGCUGUCUGGGAUGCCUCAGACCUGCCAGCGGUAGAGCUGCCUGCCUUGCUUCCUCUUGCUUACUCACAGCUCUAAGUCUGAACUUGGCUGCAGCUGUCCUGAACAGCCCAGGAGGAGCCUAGGCAGGAGGAGGCUUCUCUCCUAUGCAAUUUGGCUGAAUUUUAGUUACUCAAAAGAGCAAAGGAAGCACUUCUGAAUGUUCGUCAGGAGGAGCCAACCACCUUAGCUUGCUCCCUGAUGGGUUUUGUUCAGCCCCUGCCUUACUGUUGUCAGCCUGGACUGUCUUCUGGGCUUGGGUUCACCAUGUGUCUGGACCACGGGAGUGUCUCUAGGUGUCUCCCCUCCUGUGCAUUUCUCCUGGGCAUAGACACCCAUCCUGUGGAACACUGGGAGGAGGGUGCAAGACCCCACUGCACCCAGGCUUGGUUCCUCUUGGGUGCAGCAGCCUCAUCCCCUUGCAAGCCUUCCUCCCACUCCUCCCAGAAGGCUCUGCUUCCUCCACUUGCUCCUCUCCUAGGUGUGAGCCAGCAGGGUUUGGUCACCCAGAUAUGAAGUAUUAAUGUUGGACUCCUGUCUGGAGUCGGGAGUCUAUUAAGGAAGACGUGUGGGAGAGGCCUGUGUUCAAGGCCCUUAGAACCAUUCUGCCUGAGCCAUCAGCUCCUUAAAAAGAAAUCACCAAAGAUCCCAAACAAUGGCAGACUCCCCCUCCCACCCUUUGGGCUACUUGGUAAAUAGGCCCACCAAUUCUAUCUCCAAAAUAUCUCCCAUCAGGACCAUGUGUAUAUUGACAUCUUCAUCUUCCAUCAGGUCAGGGUUGCCAAAAAGCCUCCAUCCAAAUUUCCUGAAAAAGCCCAGUUUCUCUAAAUGUGUGCAUGAACACGGUGCUGGGCAUGGCCCUCUCCUCUCAGUCCUUCUGCAACGCCCAGUGCCUUCACAGCCAAGGCCAGACUUCCUAGUGGAAGAGCAAAGUCCCUCCUGACACGGCUUCUGCUUGCAUCUGCAGCCCCACUUCCCCCACACCACGCUGCACCCUGAGCUCCUCACGGAGAGCCACCGUGUUUCACACCUGCCGUGCUCUGGGCCAGGUCGCUGGGCUUGCUGGUCCUUAGACUUGGAGCACCUGAUGCUGUUUGCCCAUCUGUCUCCUUGUCAGCCUUUGAGAAUUGGAUCUGGCAGCCCCUCCUCAGGAAGCCCAUGAGAGCCUCCGCCCCGUACUCACACAGACCCUGAGCUAGGUGGCCCCUGCCUGUGCCCCUCAGCUCCCAGCCCAGCUUCCAUGCAGCUUUAGCACAGUUUACCAGCACCAUCAAGACCCCUCUGGGAGGACAGAGAGCUCUGAAGGACAGAACACGCAUGCCUUUCUGGUUGUUCCUCUGAAGCCUAGCACAACACUGACACGUGAGAAAUACCGGCUGAAUAAAAGGUGGAAGUAAAAAAGAACAACACUGACACGUGAGAAAUACUGGCUGAAUAAAAGACACUGUGCAUUCCCUGCCCAUGAGGAAGGAAGCAGCUUAUUCCAUUUUCACCCCAGCAGAACCCCUGCAUGCAGGUUUAGGUCAACACUAGCUGCCAGCAGGAUGGAGACCCAGCAGCACGCGGCAGACAGGAGUCUCGCCGCGGGUCCUUGAUAGAAGAGUAACGAGACUUUUCUUGAAAUAGUGUCCUGAGUUGAGAUCUGAGAAGAACCUGUUAUGCAUCCUAGAACACAGUGCAUUUGCAAGUCAUAAGAUGUUAGCACCGAUUAUGGAGCCUCGUGUGUUCUUAGGGGCUAUUUCCGUGACCUCGUCGGGGGUUCAAUGAGCAGCUUCAACAGAAAAUUGGAUUUCCUUUUCCUCCAAGGCUGUCUUAUUUCCAGAUUACUCUGGACCUAAUUUGAAUCGUGCACACCUACCAUGGCAGGCUGUUUUCCUGUCCACCCAAUGAUCUCCAUACAAUCUCACUGCUGGGUAGCACCUCCAUUCCCUUGCUUACCUAAGCCAUCAAAACCUGCAACAACUCACAAAACCACAAAAAGCAACAGAAAAUAUCAGAAGAUAAUCCAAUGAAUCAAGACCUCCAGAAAACUGUGCAUAAUAUAAUUCAGUUUUUAUUUCAUUUAAUGAUAAUGUCCACAGUUAAUCAGGCAUUCCUUAUCAUUUGGAUCUACAUGUUGAAUAAACACAACAUCCCUAGACCUUUGAGGGUUUUCUAAAUAAUCUGCUGUUGAUUUUCUUAGGUACUGACCAGAUUACUAUGAAUAUUCCUGAUAGAAUAUGCUGACAAGAAACAAACAGGACAAGCCUAAAAUAGAGGCUCUGGUAAACAUUCAGGGAAAAGUUUAUUACUGACAUGUGAGAGCUCGGUUUUCAAGGUUAAUAAAAUAAAGUUGACA